rnacentral:misc_RNA from 1 species
GAUGAAGAACGCAGCGAAAUGCGAUAAGUAAUGUGAAUUGCAGAAUUCAGUGAAUCAUCGAAUCUUUGAACGCACAUUGCGCCCCCUGGUAUUCCGGGGGGCAUGCCUGUUCGAGCGUCAUUUCACCACUCAAGCCUCGCUUGGUAUUGGGCAUCGCGGUCCGCCGCGCGCCUCAAAUCGACCGGCUGGGUCUUCUGUCCCCUAAGCGUUGUGGAAACUAUUCGCUAAAGGGUGUUCGGGAGGCUACGCCGUAAAACAACCCCAUCUCUAAGGUUGACCUCGGGUCAGGUAGGGAUACCCGCUGAACUUAAGCAUAUCAAUAAGCGGAGGA